rnacentral:rRNA from 1 species
GAUGAACGCUGGCGGCGUGCUUAACACAUGCAAGUCGAACGAAGCAUUUAAGACAGAUUACUUCGGUUUGAGGUCUUUUAUGACUGAGUGGCGGACGGGUGAGUAACGCGUGGGUAACCUGCCUCAUACAGGGGGAUAGCAGCUGGAAACGGCUGGUAAUACCGCAUAAGCGCACAGUACCACAUGGUACAGUGUGAAAAACUCCGGUGGUAUGAGAUGGACCCGCGUCUGAUUAGCUUGUUGGCGGGGUAACGGCCCACCAAGGCGACGAUCAGUAGCCGACCUGAGAGGGUGACCGGCAAAAUUGGGACUGAGACACGGCCCAGACUCCUACGGGAGGCAGCAGUGGGGAAUAUUGCACAAUGGAGGAAACUCUGAUGCAGCGACGCCGCGUGAGUGAAGAAGUAGUUCGCUAUGUAAAGCUCUAUCAGCAGGGAAGAUAGUGACGGUACCUGACUAAGAAGCUCCGGCUAAAUACGUG